rnacentral:rRNA from 1 species
UUAAAUUGAAGAGUUUGAUCAUGGCUCAGAUUGAACGCUGGCGGCAGGCCUAACACAUGCAAGUCGAACGGUAACAGGAAACAGCUUGCUGUUUUGCUGACGAGUGGCGGACGGGUGAGUAAUGUCUGGGAAACUGCCUGAUGGAGGGGGAUAACUACUGGAAACGGUAGCUAAUACCGCAUAACGUCGCAAGACCAAAGAGGGGGACCUUCGGGCCUCUUGCCAUCGGAUGUGCCCAGAUGGGAUUAGCUAGUAGGUGGGGUAACGGCUCACCUAGGCGACGAUCCCUAGCUGGUCUGAGAGGAUGACCAG